rnacentral:pre_miRNA from 1 species
UAGCUACUCCCUCCGUUCUAAAUUGUUGGUCGUUUUGGGUUUUCAAAAUACAUAUGUUUUUGUAUGUAUGUAGACAUAAUAUAUAUCUAGAUACAUACAAAAACAUAUGUAUCUAGAAAAGCCAAAACGACCUACAAUUUGGAACGGAGGGAGUAGAUU